UACUAGAGUAGCACUCGCAUAUCAAUAAGCGGAGGAAAAGAAACUAACAAGGAUUCCCCUAGUAACGGCGAGUGAGGCGGGAAGAGCUCAAAUUUGAAAUCUUAAAGGGUUUCCCUUUACGAAUUGUAGUUUAAAGAAGUGUUUUCUGUUGAGGUUUUGGUAAAAGUUCUUUGGAAUAGGACAUCAUAGAGGGUGAGAAUCCCGUAUUUGACCUUUACUUUCAACUUUGUGAUACACUUUCAAAGAGUCGGAUUGUUUGGGAAUGCAGUCCAAAAUGGGUGGUAAAUUUCAUCUAAAGCUAAAUAUUGGCGAGAGACCGAUAGCGAACAAGUACCGUGAGGGAAAGAUGAAAAGAACUUUGAAAAGAGAGUUAAACAGUACGUGAAAUUGUCAAAAGGGAAGCGUUUGACACCAGUGUUGUUUUUCUGAAAAUCAAUUAAAGAACUGUUUAUGCUAAGCUGUUUAGACUUUAUCAGCUAUCUGUUUAGUUUUGAGCUUUUCUUUAAUGCACUUUUCAGUUAACAAGUCAACAUCAAUUUCUUUUGCUGUAAAAAAGCUUGAGGAAGGUGGCUUGAGAUUCGUCUUAAGUGUUUAUAGCCUCUUGCCUAUGCAGUCGGAGAGACUGAGGUCUGCAGCGUAGAUCCUUCGGGGCUAAAUGCAUUUGUGCUAAGUUAUAGCAUUUUAUAGACAACUUGUUGACUAUGAUUUGUCUUGUAGCUUACUCGCUUAUGUUAUUUUACCUACGCUUAGGAUGUUGAACUCUAUCACACACAG
rnacentral:rRNA from 1 species